rnacentral:rRNA from 1 species
UUCAGGGGUAAACCUGAGAAACCCGAAAGGUCGAAAGGGGAAAUUCAUUCGCGUCUCGACCGCAGGCGUCGGAUGGUCGAGCGACGGACGGCCUCCGGGCCGUCUGCGCCUUCCUUUCGACGAACCGGCGUCGAACGUGUGCACUUUUCCCCUAGUAGGACGUCGCGAUCCGUUGGGUGUCGGUCUAAGACUCGCGGUGGUGCCCGUGCGUACGUUUCAACGCGUUACGCUCGGACCCGCGAUGUUCCGGCCGACUCGCUCGACGGUAUAAACAUGGCGUGGGGCCGCUACUCAGUUAGCGUUCGGCCUGCGGCAAGCCCGUGCGGUGUCGAUGGCGAUCGGACCUGGUGCCGGUCCCGUCCCCGAACGACUGUUGGCCGCGGUGUUCUCGAACAGACCUCCUCGAAACGCCUAUCGGCGACGCUAUAGCUUUGGGUACUUUCAGGACCCACGGACCAAGGAGUCUAGCAUGUACGCGAGUCAUUGGGACAUCGCUAAACCUAAAGGCGUAAUGAAAGUAAAGGUCCGCCUCGCGUGGACCGAGGGAAGAUGAACGGUUCGUUUCGGCGGCCGUUCCGCACUCCCGGGGCGUCUCGUUCUCAUCACGAGAAGAGGCGCACCAAGAGC